rnacentral:rRNA from 1 species
AGGGUUUGAUCCUGGCUCAGGAUGAACGCUGGCUACAGGCUUAACACAUGCAAGUCGAGGGGCAGCAUGACGGAAGCUUGCUUCCGUUGAUGGCGACCGGCGCACGGGUGAGUAACGCGUAUCCAACCUGCCCUUGUCCAUCGGAUAACCCGUCGAAAGGCGGACUAACACGAUAUGCAGUUCUCCGCAGGCAUCUAACGAGAACGAAAUGUGAAGGAGAAGGAUGGGGAUGCGUCUGAUUAGCUUGUUGGCGGGGUAACGGCCCACCAAGGCGACGAUCAGUAGGGGUUCUGAGAGGAAGGUCCCCCACAUUGGAACUGAGACACGGUCCAA